rnacentral:rRNA from 1 species
UACGAAGGGGGCUAGCGUUGCUCGGAAUCACUGGGCGUAAAGCGCACGUAGGCGGAUUGCUAAGUCAGGGGUGAAAUCCUGGAGCUCAACUCCAGAACUGCCUUUGAUACUGGCGAUCUUGAGUCCGGGAGCGGUGAGUGGAACUGCGAGUGUAGAGGUGAAAUUCGUAGAUAUUCGCAAGAACACCAGUGGCGAAGGCGGCUCACUGGCCCGGUACUGACGCUGAGGUGCGAAAGCGUGGGGAGCAAACAGG